GACGAACGCUGGCGGCGUGCUUAACACAUGCAAGUCGAACGGAAAGGCCCUGCUUUUGUGGGGUGCUCGAGUGGCGAACGGGUGAGUAACACGUGAGUAACCUGCCCUUGUCUUUGGGAUAACUUCAGGAAACUGGGGCUAAUACCGGAUAGGAGCUCCUGCUGCAUGGUGGGGGUUGGAAAGUUUCGGCGGUUGGGGAUGGACUCGCGGCUUAUCAGCUUGUUGGUGGGGUAGUGGCUUACCAAGGCUUUGACGGGUAGCCGGCCUGAGAGGGUGACCGGCCACAUUGGGACUGAGAUACGGCCCAGACUGCUACGGGAGGCAGCAGUGGGGAAUAUUGCACAAUGGGCGGAAGCCUGAUGCAGCAACGCCGCGUGCGGGAUGACGGCCUUCGGGUUGUAAACCGCUUUCGCCUGUGACGAAGCGUGAGUGACGGUAAUGGGUAAAGAAGCACCGGCUAACUACGUG
rnacentral:rRNA from 1 species